UACGAAGGGGGCAAGCGUUGUUCGGAGUUACUGGGCGUAAAGGGCGCGUAGGCGGCCUUCUAAGUCGAACGUGAAAUCCCCGGGCUCAACCCGGGAACUGCGUCCGAUACUGGAAGGCUUGAAUCCGGGAGAGGGAUGCGGAAUUCCAGGUGUAGCGGUGAAAUGCGUAGAUAUCUGGAGGAACACCGGUGGCGAAGGCGGCAUCCUGGACCGGUAUUGACGCUGAGGCGCGAAAGCCAGGGGAGCAAACGGG
rnacentral:rRNA from 1 species